rnacentral:rRNA from 1 species
UACGUAGGGGGCAAGCGUUGUCCGGAUUUAUUGGGCGUAAAGAGCGUGUAGGCGGCUUUACAGGUCCGCUGUGAAAACUCGAGGCUCAACCUCGAGACGCCGGUGGAAACCGUAAAGCUAGAGUCCGGAAGAGGAGAGUGGAAUUCCUGGUGUAGCGGUGAAAUGCGCAGAUAUCAGGAAGAACACCAAUGGCGAAGGCAGCUCGCUGGGACGGUACUGACGCUGAGACGCGAAAGCGUGGGGAGCAAACAGG